CAGGUGUAGAGCUGGGAGAGGAGACCCUGUCUACUACACCCAGUACAGUGAACCAGUCCACAUACAGGUUACUGUUCCUGUAUCCCCUAGAUCAAACUUAGUAGGAGUGGUUGUGGGUCUGGUUUUUGCUGCUGUUCUACUGACCCUCAUCCUGGUCCUGCUGUGUCGAUAUAAAAAUAGCGAAGGUUCCAGUUGUAUCAGAAUAUUGUGGCCCAUCCAUCCCCAGAGCACCAAUCAGGAACCCCAACAGGACCAAGGAUCUACCCAGGUUCCGCCCCCUGAUGCUGUGUAUACAUCUCUGCUGCAUGGUGAUCUUAACAUCUAUCAUUUCAUCAAGCAGAAAUUCUAAAGGUAAACUAUGAAGUGAUGUUUUAUCAGGAAUGUGUAGUAGGUUUUACAGAUCCAAGAGGUUUGCCUUUGUUUAUGCCCAAUCAACAUUUUUCACACCAAGUUGUAGCCCCCCCAUGACUCUAAGGACACCCCAAGUCCAUAAAUACACUUUAACUUAGUUAAUAUCCUAAUUUGAUGUUUAUGCAACUCAUUUGCAAUAUAAAUGGCAUGUCAUUUAAUGAAACCAGAGAUAUUGAAGAAAUUAGGAGAUUUAAAUCACAACUUUUAAAUCUCCUAAUAUAUUGAUGGUAUGUACAACACAGUAUGUACAACACUUACUUGUCAUAACAUUACUGCUAACCAUGUAGCUCAAAAUAACUUAGCCUGAUCAUAAUUCAUAGAAAUCCAACUUCAACUAAUGUUAUUUAUUGUUACACCAGCCAGAUUAAAUAUUAAUACACAAGAAAAGUCUUAAAGAGGUUUAAAGAAGACCUGAAUACAAAACCAAUGGUGAUGGAUGACAAAGGGAUUUUACGUGUUUGACCUUAUGCUAACAUACCCAAGGAAACCAGGAACAAGAAAACGGCAUCAAUACAUUUUCUGGAGUCUGAGACCAAAUAAAUAGCAUAGAAUUUAUUUCCAGACAUAUUGCUUGGUUUUAUUUUAUAUUCAUACGGGUGCCAAUACAUUUGAAACCCAUGCUUUGCAGAAAAAAAACAAGUAAUUAAUAAAACAUUAACUCACAUUAUGUUAGAGCCCACGAUAUGACUAAUUGUUUAAGAUGUUCAUUUUCUGUGGUUUUUUGUAUUUAACUUUUUCAUUUCAAGAAGGAUGCCAAUACAAAUUUAGUUUACUGUAUAUAAGGGCUGCAAGAUUUGGAUGAAAUAUUUCAGUUUUAGCAAUUUGCGAUUUUCAAACAUGGGUGUAAGCAGUGUGUAAUCUCACAGGGUGUAAAUAAUCUCACUUAAAAAUAGGGAUCACAGCCUACAUAAUGGGCUAUUAAACUGAAUAAAAAUCUAGUUUAAAUUCAGUGUUUUCUAUUUUACACUUAUACGAAUUUGUAGGUGCAGCAAUGUCAAAUUAUUCGUUUAACUGCUCAUUUAAUGCAAAGGCGUUGGCAGCAUUUGAUAUGUUUGUGCCGUUGUCACAGCUCGUUAGGCAAAACUCAACCCUUGAGGUAUAUUUUCUCCCAUAUUAAGCAUGUUUGUAAGGACCGACUUUUAAUAAUCAUGCUGUUGUGUAGGCUAUGUGGGACAAUGUCUUGGUGCCACUCGCUUGCUUGAAGCAGACGACUUUAACUCAAACUGAAAUGGAAAAACCUUCAAAUAUUAAACUGAAAUGGAAAAAACAUCAAGUAUUUGAAUAAAAUUAGUUCAGGUAUUUAAGUAAUCUAGAAAAAUAUGUACAGCAGCCGCAAAAUAAACUAUGACGGAUGUACGAUGCGUGCUCGUUGCCUUGUGUGAAGCACAUCUCAUUCACGUUUUUGUUGGAGCUGAAUAUAGCGUAAAUUGCGAUUUCGAUAAUGAACACGUCAAUAUCACAAUUUGGAUUAUAAUUCGGUUAAUCGUGCAGCCCCGCUGUAUAUACAAUACUCAGUAAAUGGGCAAGUCUGUAAAAACCUUUCACUGGUACUGUAUGUAUGUACAUAGGUUUGGGUAGGUUACUUUUUAAAUGUAAGGCUUUACAGUUACAAGUUAC